CCUACAGGAGGCAGCAGUGGGGAAUCUUGGGCAAUGGACGCAAGUCUGACCCAGCAACGCCGCGUGAAGGAAGAAGGCUUUCGGGUUGUAAACUUCUUUUGAGGGAGAAGAGCAGAAGACGGUACCCCUUGAAUAAGCCGCGGCGUACUACGUGCCAGCAGCCGCGGGAAUACGUAGGUGGCCAGCGGUGGCCGGAUUUACUGGGUGUAAAGGGCGUGCAGCCGGUGAGGCAAGGCAGAUGUGAAAUCGACGGGCUCAACCCGUGAACUGCAUUUGAAACUGUUUCCCUUGAGGGUCGGAGAGGAGAUCGGAAUUCCUUGUGUAGCGGUGAAAUGCGUAGAUAUAAGGAAGAACACCAGUGGCGAAGGCGGAUUACUGGACGAUAACUGACGGUGAGGCGCGAAAGCGUGGGGAGCAAACAGGAUUAGAUACCCGAGUAGUC
rnacentral:rRNA from 1 species